rnacentral:piRNA from 1 species
ACAGGGUGAAGUUCCUGGUGAUGAAUGA